UUCAGGAGAGCAAGGCCAAAUUCUUCACUACACACCCUAUGUCAAAACACACACUGGCCUUUAAAGCUUCCACUCAGAAGGAACACAUGGCACUUCUCACAUUUUUUGGCUAAGUCAAGUCGCAAGGCCAAGUUUAACUUCAAAGGGGGUGGGGAGGUACAUUCUUCCCAUAGAUGAUUAGAUAUAGGUGACUAGAGAUCCAGUCUUCCAUGUAAGUAUUUUUUGUGUGUAUUAUUCACUUAAUUCUCUCAACAAUUCCUACUACUAUCUCCAUUUUUCAAAUAAAGAAACUGAGCCAUAGGGAGUAUCUAUGAUAACUGAGUAUCUUACCUCUCUACUAAGUGUCAGGCCUCAAGUCAUGCGGCCGGUGAGGCCAGGGCUAGAAAUGCCUGGUUUUAAGCCCAGGUACUCCAGCUCCAUAGCUCAUGCUCUGUAAAACAAUAAGGAAAAAAUUGUAUUGCUUCCUCACGUUUCUUCUUCUCUGCAUUCAAAUACUCCUGCUGUGCCAGGCACUGGUCUGUGAUGUGCUGGAAAUACAAUGGUGAAUGUGACAUUAGGCACUUGCCCCAAUGAAGCUGAGGUUUGUCUUACUUUCUUCUUGGACAAAGGAUGAAAUACAGGGCCUGGAAUAAUCAGGUCCCAUUAGCCACACGCACAGUCACCAUUAUGACCAUUGUAUCACACUUAUUCUCCCCAACUGGGAUGGAAUCUUGCCUACCCGCUUCUUGAGACUUUGGAGGGGCAAAGAAAGAGGUAAAGGAAAAAUUAAAAUUUGGGUGAAUGAAAUGAAAUAAGAGUGUAAAAAGCACAAUAGGAUAACUCUUUGCCACUUCCCCUUACCUCAGAAUAGUCAACAGGUACAGUAUAGGCACUGCCCAUCUGAUGGCAAUUACAAACUGUAUUCCCACCUGGACUGGUGCCUUCUGGCUCAGUAUCAGCCCUAUCCUUACCCUUCAUCCUCCAGAGUGCAUACCUUUUCCUGGAACUAUUGAGGAAAGAAUAUGUUUUCUCAUACUGAGUUUGCUGAGAAGACAAAAUGUUGGCAGCUAUCCUGUCACCACUGGAGAUCAGCCUGUCUGAGAAUGGAACCACAACAGAGGAAAGCAGACAAGAUACAAGACAUGCAAACCAAUCCUUUAACAUUUGAGCUCCUGGAUCCAGCCAUGCCUGAGCCUGCAAUUUUUGAGAAAAGUAUGAAGAGCAACAGAAGGAGGAAUUGACCACCAGGAGCUUGGAGGGAUACCAGCAUACUGAGUAUCUUCUCUCUACUAAAAAGAUUUAGUACUAGAAAGCUGAAGUGAAGCCUCAUAUCCUUAAAAUUCAUUACAGCCAUAAAAAGCACCGCCAUAUUUUCAUGAGCUAUUAAAACAAACAGUUAAAAAUAAAGCCCAUUUGGUAUCCAAUAUCCUUCACACGAUCGUAUUUUUUCAUGUAUUUGUGAAGCAACAAACGUUGGCUAACUGCAAUACAUCUCCUUGUAACUGAUUCCAAUUUCCACAUUCUCUUUUGCAUCCUAAAAUAAUAAGCUACAAUUUCUCUAGCCAUACAAUUUAUAAAUUACAUAGACUUCCA